CCUCAUCUGGCAAAUUACGCAUCUGUUUCACAAACAAUAACAAGAAACAGUAAACACUAAAGACGUGGAUUGAAGAACAAUGGAAGACCUAAGGCAGAGUUUUUCAUCUUCGUUCGUUUCUGAAAUAUGCACAUGUACUGCAACACUUUUUCCGAGCAGCGUUGAUAAAUUAGUCCAAGUAGGUUCUGGCAUAUAUCUUUUAAUAGGAGGAAAGUCUAAACUCUAAACUAUCAUAUCGUAAUGAUGAAAAGGCUGGAAAAGUAGAGAACAUAUUGCAAAGAAAAACUCUCCCCUUGUUUCUUUCCAAAAUUACACAAUAUCGAUGUUUCUCCACAUGCAUUGACAAAAUAGCCAUGCAUGAAAUAGGCCUCACAUAAUCUAACCAGUCCUGGGUAGGUCAAACAAUCUUUGACAAUGCUUUUCAACAGAUCCAGCUUCAACUAUACGGAUGGCAUCCAAAACUAAAGUAGCUUCCCUUGCUUUAAAUCAUUAAAAUCUUGCAUCUAUUAGAAAAAUAGUACUGAAAUUUGGUUAAGGAACAAAAACCACGCAGAGUGCUAAGGUUAAAAAUUUUUACUGUUUCAAGCUCAGUAAGGUUAAUUUCCUCCAAUAAUUCACAUUCCUAAAUUCUAAUAAGAAAAAUAAGAGAUGCAAAUAUGAUUCUGAAUUGACCUAGAGAUGAGGAAAAAAUGAAAUGAAAUAUAUCACCACACACAUAAAGAUACAAGUAAAGCAAAUGCAAAUGACUGGAACUGCAAUUUUCAAUAAAAAUUUUAUGCCAAAAUUUUACCUCUCCCCAGAUUUUUUUCUCAAG
rnacentral:misc_RNA from 1 species